AUCGUUUUGUGCAUGACAGUGUGAUCAUAUGCUUUCCUCUGUCUGACCUAAAUGCACUCAUGUCUAGACACUUCUUUCUGUCUGCUGCUGCAUUGCUUAUAUUGUGCAGCUCAUGUCAAAAGUUUGCUUUUUUUCAGGAAGUUAAACAAGACUCCUUCCUCUCUCCUGACAGACAGUAGCUUUAUGCGUGGCAUAGCGAAACCAGGAACAGACCAGGGCUGCCCUUGCUUGUCUUCUGCCGGCGCAGGCCUCAGUGGGAUGGGCAGUUUGUGAAAUGACAGGACAUGCCAACAAAUUGCAUCACUUCUGCCUCUGUGGCCGAGGACAAUGGGCCACCAUAUGCCGAAGUGGGGAAAUGAAUGGAGCUCAUUUGUGCUGGCACCCUGAGCCCCCGCUCCCCCCGACCCUGCUGGGGCCUCCGUGGCACCGAGGCCGACACAGACAGACGAGCCCACCCUCUGCCAUGCCGGCGUGCUGCUGUCCACCACAGGACACUGGAAGCCAACUCAAACUAAUACAGGGCCAGAUUAGGUAGUUGGUGCAUGGAAGUGAAUAAUAAAAAAAACCAACUAUAAAUAAAGUGAGCUCUUUGGUUACUCUA